CAGGUUGUUGAAAGUCAUUGCAUUGCAAAAUGUCUGAUGCAAAAUUACUUACAUUUCCUUCAAAGGGGGAGGAAUCUCAUUUACAAAAUGAAGGCAGGAAAGGUUUAUCAAUGGUGCUGGUGCCUUCGCUGCCAAAGGCCGAGGCCACUGCUGGCAAUUUUCGAAGUCAACAACAGAACAUAGUCAGUGGUGUGAAGAAUGAUUUCUUUUUGGUCUGUUCCACCAGACGUCGUAGCUGUGAUUUGGUAAACACUCCACCUUGUAUUAACAAAGCUAAUCUCCUCAUUCAUGAGCUUGAAAGAAAAACUGAAGGCUGGUUUCAACAGGUAUGAUUACAAAUAAGUAAAUAUGGCAGUAUAGUAUUCAUUCAGGACCAAGAACUGCAUUUAUAAUCAGGUUAGGGCAAAAAGGUCAGAUGAAGUGAUUUCUAUUCUGGUUGCACAA